rnacentral:rRNA from 1 species
GUGGCUUGCUACCUCGAUGUCGGUUCCCUCCAUCCUGCCCGUGCAGAAGCGGGCAAGGGUGAGGUUGUUCGCCUAUUAAAGGAGGUCGUGAGCUGGGUUUAGACCGUCGUGAGACAGGUCGGCUGCUAUCUAUUGGGGGUGUGAGGUACCUGACGUGAACGAACGUAUAGUACGAGAGGAACUACGUUUGGUCGCCACUGGUGUAUCGGUUGUCCGGAAGGGCAGCUGCCGAGUAGCCACGCGACACGGGGUAAGAGCUGAACGCAUCUAAGCUCGAAACCCACAUGGAAAAGAGGUACCACAGAGGUCACUCGUAGAAGACGAGUUCGAUAGACUCGGGGUGUACGCACCGAGGCAACGAGGUGUUAAGCCCACGAGAACUAACAGACC